CACUAAAUACUAAUGUAGCUCAACCACAAAGUCAAGUAGUCAAUAAUUCUUUAAAAAAUUAUUGACUACUUGACUUUGUGUUUUCUUGUCAAUAGAACUUU
rnacentral:miRNA from 1 species